rnacentral:pre_miRNA from 1 species
CAUGUGGAGGAGGAAAGACACAGGUCAUGAUGUCUGUGUCUUCUGUCAGCUCUGUGUCUUUCCUGCUGCCAUGGG